GUCAGGAUGGCCGAGUGGUCUAAGGCGCCAGACUCAAGAUACUUUAUGAUGUGUCUUAACCAGAACGUUGAGUAUUCUGGUCCACGAAUGUGGGCGUGGGUUCGAAUCCCACUCCUGACA
rnacentral:tRNA from 1 species